rnacentral:rRNA from 1 species
GAUGAAGGCUGGGGGCGUGCUUAAUACAUGCAAGUCGAACGCACGAAGUUGAAGAGCUUGCUCUUUAACCAAUUGAUUGGCGGACGGGUGAGUAACACGUGGGUAACCUGCCCAUUAGAGGGGGAUAACAUUCGGAAACGGAUGCUAAUACCGCAUAGUUUCAGGAAUCGCAUGAUUCUUGAAGGAAAGGUGGCUUCGGCUACCACUAAUGGAUGGACCCGCGGCGUAUUAGCUAGUUGGUGAGGUAAUGGCUCACCAAGGCAAUGAUACGUAGCCGACCUGAGAGGGUGAUCGGCCACACUGGGACUGAGACACGGCCCAGACUCCUACGGGAGGCAGCAGUAGGGAAUCUUCCGCAAUGGACGAAAGUCUGACGGAGCAACGCCGCGUGAGUGAAGAAGGUUUUCGGAUCGUAAAACUCUGUUGUUAAAGAAGAACAAGGAUGAGAGUAACUGCUCAUCCCCUGACGGUAUUUAACCAGAAAGCCACGGCUAACUACGUGCCAGCAGCCGCGGUAAUACGUAGGUGGCAAGCGUUGUCCGGAUUUAUUGGGCGUAAAGCGAGCGCAGGCGGUUCUUUAAGUCUGAUGUGAAAGCCCCCGGCUCAACCGGGGAGGGCCAUUGGAAACUGGAGAACUUGAGUGCAGAAGAGGAGAGUGGAAUUCCACGUGUAGCGGUGAAAUGCGUAGAUAUGUGGAGGAACACCAGUGGCGAAGGCGACUCUCUGGUCUGUAACUGACGCUGAGGCUCGAAAGCGUGGGGAGCAAACAGG